CUUCACCAGAGAUCUCUUUCACCUUUCAGAAACCAGUCUGACCAGAUUUCUCAACUUCUGUACUCUGCAAGAAGCCAGAAAAAAACCAAACAAACGAAACAAAAGUUGUCAUUAACAGCUGCCCCUCACCUUUGACACACGGGGCAUGAAACAUUCCUGCAGCUCAGCUGUCUUCCUGGGCCUCUCCUGAUGUGCUGUCCAAAGGUCAUCAAAUACAAUCUUCCCUCACCCACAGCCUCUUGGCUUGGAAGUAUGCCAAGCUGAGGCUAAGUGGUAGCACUCGGCUCCGUGAGGCCUCUCAGGUGCUAAGCAAACAAAGACUGGAGAGGAACAGAUGCCUCGGUUGCAGCUGUAAUUGUUGUCUGUCCAUUAAAGCAGAUGAGAUAUGUUCAUAGCUGCCAAAUGACAUGAAAAUGACCACAGGAGCCAACUGGGAGAUGAAUAACUCUCAUCAGGCAGCAGCAGCAAAAGGUAUUCUGGAUUGCUGGUAAUUCCAGUGCUGCCUCAAUAAAGACAUCCCCACAUGCUGAUUGCA
rnacentral:lncRNA from 1 species